rnacentral:misc_RNA from 1 species
GAUGAAGAACGUAGCGAAAUGCGAUAAGUAAUGUGAAUUGCAGAAUUCAGUAAAUCAUCGAAUCUUUGAACGCACCUUGCGCUCCUUGGUAUUCCGAGGAGCAUGCCUGUUUGAGUGUCAUUAAAUUCUCAACCUCACCAACUUUGUUGUGUGCAGGCUUGGAUGUGGGGGUUGCAGGUCCACUCUCGUGGUCUGCUCCUCUGAAAUGUAUUAGUGGGUUGUGCCCCUAAUCUAUUGGUGUGAUAAUUAUCUACGCCGUGGAUUGGGUUGGUUACUUGAAGACCUGCUUCUAACCGUCCCUUGGACAACUUUUGACAAUUUUGACCUCAAAUCAGGCAAGACUACCCGCUGAACUUAAGCAUAUCAAUAAGCGGAGGA